GACGAAAAAUAACGAUACGGGACUCAUCCGAGGCCCCGUAAUCGGAAUGAGAACAAUUUAAAUCCUUUAACGAGGAUCAAUUGGAGGGCAAGUCUGGUGCCAGCAGCCGCGGUAAUUCCAGCUCCAAUAGCGUAUAUUAAAGUUGUUGCGGUUAAAAAGCUCGUAGUCGAAUCUGUGUCCCGCGCCGCCGGUUCGUCGCUCGCGGCGUUUAACUGGCGUGUCCGCGGGACGUCCUGCCGGUGGGCUUAGCCUUUUCAUUAAGGCGGCCCAAUCUUAAUCCCGCCGCGGUGCUCUUCACCGAGUGUCGAGGCGGGCCGGCACGUUUACUUUGAACAAAUUAGAGUGCUUAAAGCAGGCUAAAACUUCGCCUGAAUACUUCGUGCAUGGAAUAAUGGAAUAGGACCUCGGUUCUAUUUUGUUGGUUUUCGGAACCCCGAGGUAAUGAUUAAUAGGAACGGAUGGGGGCAUUCGUAUUGCGACGUUAGAGGUGAAAUUCUUGGAUCGUCGCAAGACGGACAGAAGCGAAAGCAUUUGCCAAAAA
rnacentral:rRNA from 1 species